rnacentral:rRNA from 1 species
UGCGUAGGCGGAUUAAUAAGUCAGUAGUGAAAUCCUGCAGCUUAACUGUAGAACUGUUAUUGAUACUGGUUUUCUUGAAUAUAGUUGAGGUAGGCGGAAUGUGUAAUGUAGCGGUGAAAUGCUUAGAUAUUACACAGAACACCGAUUGCGAAGGCAGCUUACUAAGCUAUGAUUGACGCUGAGGUACGAAAGCGUGGGGAGCGAACAGGAUUAGAUACCCUGGUAGUCC